UACGAAGGGGGCUAGCGUUGCUCGGAAUCACUGGGCGUAAAGCGCACGUAGGCGGAUUGUUAAGUCAGGGGUGAAAUCCUGGAGCUCAACUCCAGAACUGCCUUUGAUACUGGCGAUCUUGAGUCCGGGAGAGGUGAGUGGAACUGCGAGUGUAGAGGUGAAAUUCGUAGAUAUUCGCAAGAACACCAGUGGCGAAGGCGGCUCACUGGCCCGGUACUGACGCUGAGGUGCGAAAGCGUGGGGAGCAAACAGGGAUUAAGAAACCCUA
rnacentral:rRNA from 1 species